rnacentral:ncRNA from 1 species
UUCACGGAGAGUUUGAUCCUGGCUCAGGACGAACGCUGGCGGCGUGCUUAACACAUGCAAGUCGAACGAUGAAGCCUUUCGGGGUGGAUUAGUGGCGAACGGGUGAGUAACACGUGGGCAAUCUGCCCUGCACUCUGGGACAAGCCCUGGAAACGGGGUCUAAUACCGGAUAAUACCUUCCCUCGCAUGGGGGUGGGUUCAAAGCUCCGGCGGUGCAGGAUGAGCCCGCGGCCUAUCAGCUUGUUGGUGAGGUAGUGGCUCACCAAGGCGACGACGGGUAGCCGGCCUGAGAGGGCGACCGGCCACACUGGGACUGAGACACGGCCCAGACUCCUACGGGAGGCAGCAGUGGGGAAUAUUGCACAAUGGGCGAAAGCCUGAUGCAGCGACGCCGCGUGAGGGAUGACGGCCUUCGGGUUGUAAACCUCUUUCAGCAGGGAAGAAGCGAAAGUGACGGUACCUGCAGAAGAAGCGCCGGCUAACUACGUGCCAGCAGCCGCGGUAAUACGUAGGGCGCAAGCGUUGUCCGGAAUUAUUGGGCGUAAAGAGCUCGUAGGCGGUCUGUCGCGUCGGAUGUGAAAGCCCGGGGCUUAACCCCGGGUCUGCAUUCGAUACGGGCAGACUAGAGUG